rnacentral:rRNA from 1 species
UAGGGUAUCUUCCACAAUGGGCGCAAGCCUGAUGGAGCAACGCCGCGUGUGUGAUGAAGGCUUUCGGGUCGUAAAGCACUGUUGUAUGGGAAGAAAUGCUAGAAUAGGGAAUGAUUCUAGUUCGACGGUACCAUACCAGAAAGGGACGGCUAAAUACGUGCCAG